GAGUCUGUAGAUCAAUGGGCGAUCGCCUCUCACACAGGAGGCGGUGGGUUCAACCCCCACCAGAUCCA
rnacentral:tRNA from 3 species